rnacentral:rRNA from 1 species
UACGAAGGGGGCUAGCGUUGCUCGGAAUCACUGGGCGUAAAGCGCACGUAGGCGGCUUUUUAAGUCAGGGGUGAAAUCCUGGAGCUCAACUCCAGAACUGCCUUUGAUACUGUGGAGCUAGAGGGAGGUAGGGGUCUGUGGAACUUCCGGUGGAGCGGUGAAAUGCGUUGAUAUCGGAAGGAACGCCGGUGGCGAAAGCGACGGACUGGAUCUCUUCUGACGCUGAUGCGCGAAAGCCAGGGGAGCAAACGGG